rnacentral:rRNA from 1 species
GAUGAACGCUGGCGGCGUGCCUAACACAUGCAAGUCGAACGGUCUUCGCAAGGGGACAGUGGCGCACGGGUGAGGAACACGUAGCCGACCUGCCUUGGAGUGCGGGAUAACGCCCCGAAAGGGGUGCUAAUACCGCGUAAGCUCACGGGAUUUAGAAACCUGGGAGAAAAGGCCUUCGGGUCGCUCUGAGAGGGGGCUGCGGCCCAUCAGCUAGUUGGUGUGGUAAUGGCACACCAAGGCGACGACGGGUAGGGGACCUGAGAGGGUGACCCCCCACACUGGGACUGAGACACGGCCCAGACUCCUACGGGAGGCAGCAGUGAGGAAUAUUGCACAAUGGGCGAAAGCCUGAUGCAGCGACGCCGCGUGGGUGAUUGAAGGCCUUCGGGUCUUAAGCCCUUUUCUGCGUGACGAGGAAGGACGGUAGCGCAGGAAUAAGUGUCGGCUAACUACGUGCCAGCAGCCGCGGUAAAACGUAGGACGCAAACGUUAUCCGGAGUUACUGGGCGUAAAGAGCGUGUAGGCGGAUGAACAAGUCGGUUGUGAAAGCGCCCGGCUAAACUGGGCGAGGUCGAUCAAGACUGUGUAACUCGAGAGUGAUAGAGGGGCGCAGAAUUCCUUGUGUAGUGGUGAAAUGCGUAGAUAUAAGGAAGAAUACCAGUGGCGAAGGCGAUCAACUGGCAUACCAAUACUGACGCUGAGGUGCGAAAGCGUGGGGAGCAAGCAGGAUUAGAUACCCUGGUAGUCCACGCCGUAAAGGAUGUCAACUAGCCGUUGGGGGGCUUGUACCCUUAGUGGCGCAGCUAACGCGAUAAGUUGACCGCCUGGGGAGUACGGCCGCAAGGUUAAAACUCAAAUGAAUUGACGGGGGCCCGCACAAGCGGUGGAGCAUGUGGUUUAAUUCGAUGCAACGCGAAGAACCUUACCUGCCCUUGACAUCCUCGGAACUUGUCAGAGAUGACUUGGUGCCUUCUCGGGAACCGUGACAGGUGCUGCAUGGCUGUCGUCAGCUCGUGUCGUGAGAUGUUGGGUUAAGUCCCGUAACGAGCGCAACCCUUGUCCUUAGUUGCCAGCACGUAAUGGUGGGAACUCUAAGGAGACUGCCGGUGACAAACCGGAGGAAGGUGGGGACGACGUCAAGUCAUCAUGGCCCUUACGACCUGGGCUACACACGUGCUACAAUGGCGAGAACAGAGGGUCGCAAAACCGCGAGGUCAAGCUAAUCCCAGAAAACUCGUCGUAGUCCGGAUUGGAGUCUGCAACUCGACUCCAUGAAGUCGGAAUCGCUAGUAAUCGCGAAUCAGAAUGUCGCGGUGAAUACGUUCCCGGGCCUUGUACACACCGCCCGU